rnacentral:snRNA from 1 species
GGAUGUGAGGGUGAUCUGGCUGCAACAUCUGUCACCCCAUUGAAAACCACGGUUGAUUCAGCUGAUCUGGCUGGCUAGCCGGGUGUCCCUUUCCUCCCUCACUGCUCCAUGUGCAUCUCUCCCGAAGCUGCGCACUCGGUCAAAGAGGACAACCAUCCCCGAUAAAGGAGAACCGGUCUUCGGUCAAGGGUAUGCCAGUAGCUGCGCUCACCUGCUAGAACCUCCAAACAAGCUCUCAAAAACAUACCAAAUGCUAAAGAGAAUCAACAAAAUGAAAAAUCUACAUCAACUAAUGGGCAAAACAUCCAGCUAGU